GCCAGUGUGGUGUAGUGGUUUUCAAUAUUGGACUAAGAGUCCUGGAGGCCAGGGUUUGAAUCCCCGCUCAGCCA